rnacentral:lncRNA from 1 species
CAAGUUUAAGCUUCAGAUUUGUUUCUGUUCUCGUCCAGGAGGGAGGGCAACCACCGGUCCUCGCACCCUCAGCUGUUUGUUUUCUCCUCACUUUCUCAGCCUGGGAGUUCUUUUGCUUUCCUCUCCUCGGUUGCCAGAUGGUUCCUUUCAGAUCGGAACCGGGGAGGCCGACAUCAGCGCGGGUUCGACGAGACGAGCCGUGGUGGUUGAGGAGCCAGCAUGGCGUCGGGCCACACGGUCAUGCACCUGCAGAGGAAGCUGAAGGACCUGCAGCGGCAGCGCUGUAGGAGGGGGGGCAGUCAGGAGUCCCGAGUGCUGGGGAUGGUGGCACCCACCAUGAGGACCCCAGCCCUGGGUUCCCCGUUCAUCGCGUCCGAUGGGACCCUUCACUCCCACAGAGGUCUGCAGCCUCACUCCCCCUUGGCACGAGUAGCAGGGAGGGACCUGGACGACUACCGGCCCGUCCCGCCGGCCACGGCCUCCGACGAUCCCAAAGGUGGGAACACACACACACACACACACACACACACACACACACACACACACACACACACACACACACACACACACGCACGCACAGAGCUGCCAUUGCAAAGUAUAUGCUUACAGGUGAAACCCAUGGGAACAUCUUUGGUUAGAUCACGGUGUCACUGCGAAUCGGCACUGGCAGUUUGUACCGCGUUCUUCAUACCGUGGAUUGCGCAACCGGAGCCCGAGGGAGCGGCAGUCAGGCUCUCAGUCUGGUCGCCAGUUUUGCAAGCAGAAGUUGCCCGCUUCCUGCAGCAGCUAUGAUGGGCUCUUUUUCUCCCGAUGGCUGUCUAGAUCCAACCGCCGGCACUCGGGAGCUCCCUUCCCCGGCCGCAGAGCUCUUACACCCCGGCAGCGCCCCUCUAAAGCCCCCACCGGAGAUCCCCCAGCCGAGGAGGGCCGUCCCCGCGGCGACCGUCCCGCUGUCUGCUCUGACCUGCGACCCCUGGAGGGCGGACGCCUCUCAGGCUUUUCCGGUAAUGCCUGCCAUAGGCUUCAUCCCUCCCGCCAGGCCUCCGGGGGACGGGCCCUUCUUCCAGAGGGAGAGUGCGAACGCAGCCGAGUUCCCCCCAAACAGCAGAGAGGUCCUGUGGCCGUUACCCAACUACCCCGCCAUAUUUCCCGACGCCCUCACCAUGCCUCCUUCAUACCAGUGUCCCACCUACGUGCCUCACCUUCCGCUCCACCCGUCCUGGUACAGGUUGGACAUCCCACCUUUUCUGUACAAGAAGGCCUCCGUCCACCCGUCUGAGCUGAGUGCGUUCCCUCCCCUUCACCUGUCCCACCCUCUGUCCAGGGACACCUUUGGGCUCAAACCGUCUGGGUUUGCGGUUGGCCCUCACAGCAGCUCCGCAGAAGGAAGAAUAGUCAAGGAAGGGGCGGCGAUCCAUAAGAGCAAGGAGAGCAAGCCUGUUUCCCAUUUGCCCCAGAAUGUGCUAAUGCACACGCCAGAACGUCUGCAGAGGAAGGAGGGGAAGGGGCAGAGAAUGGUGGUAACGGGCAGGACCCCCAGUCGAGAUGGGGGCAAGCCAGACAAGAACCGGAUGGUUGCCGUGGAAACGCUUCCUAUCGCCAACUCCUGUUUCAAUAGGCAUAGAAGGGGAUUUUCCAGUUCAGCUCCCUCAGGGCCAGAUGUUCAAGACUUGGGUCAAAAUCCGGAGUGUCAUUUGUGGCCGUGGGUGUCUUUGCAACACACGAAAAAAGCGGCCAGGUCUAAUGGGUUGCUGGUUCCAGGAAGACCUCAGCAUCUGACCAAAGAGGGUCAACUUUCCCAUGUUUUGCCUCCAGUCAAGACCAAGCUGAAGGAUGGUCUCAACAGGAGAGAUGGAGAGAAAGGUUUGGCACAAGUGGAUUCUGGGAGCUACCUGAGACAUCUACUAACAGAACCACGGGAUUCUCUGAAGGCCUUAGACCUCAGUCCAAAGAUCCAGCGAGGUAAAUAUAGGGAUGAGCACAAGGCCACACAGCCGUCCCCCAGCAGAGCUCGAGAUGAGAUCCACCAAAAGGGGGAGAGUGUCUCUUCACGUGGGCAACAAGAAGACUGUUCACCAGCGCCGGCAGAAAAUGAGCAGAAUGAUACACAAGGUCAAAGGUCAGCAAGAUCCAGCUCCAUGCCCAACCUGUUGUUAACUCACAGUCCGCACAGCGAACAUGAAAGACUGAAGGGUUUCGGUGGAAGAGGCAUCAGCACAAAAGAGGAGCUUCAGAAGAAAGAGGUUCACUUGAAAAGGGGAUCUCCUCGGGGUGGAGCAAAUCUGAACCUCAGAGUGCCUGGAAAUGGACACCUAGGCGCUGGGGGGCUGACCUGCACCAAAGGUGCCAAUGAAACAAAUCCAAGCAAAAGGGCACUUGAACCUCCUGCGACAAAAAGUGAAGAAUCAGCUCAGGAAUCUUCCCCAGCGAAGACCAGUAGACUGGGUCACUGUGAAGCCCCAGCAAACUCUUCUUCAUGUACAAUAAGUGGCAGCCAGGAAAGUUCAUGCUCAGCUCAUUGUGAGUGCUCAUCCUUGCAGGUGGGGGGUGAGAAGACCCAAGAGAAUGCGAAAAGAAGACUUUGUGGAAAUACCACGAGCCAGGGGGGGUCGGCAGAACGUUCCCCAGGCGGCUUCCCAAAUCAGUGCUGGGAGGAGCCCGUCCAAGAACAUGAUGGUUACCAGGACCACGCAGAUGGGACGCAUGGUGUUCACGGUCAGGUGGGAGGUUUCAGCAUUUUGGACCUGACCACAUCCAGCUUGUCCAGCGAUGAGGAGACAGAGGAGAAGCCUGGCUGGCAGGGGGUGGAAGGUGUACUGGAGAUGUACAAGUCCUACUUAGAAGAGACCACAUUUGAAGAGAAGAUACUUCAAGAGCAGCUCAGACUUUCGAAAGAGAAAAACAACGAGCUCAGUCGGGUGGCCAAAAAUCUGAAGGCGCAGAUCCAGGUGGGUUCGAGGAGAUCUUGUGCUUCCCUUGAAGGGAAUAAUGUGGUAACGCGGGGCCUCUGAAAGCAGAAGAUCUCUCUCGGUAAACCUGCACAGUAAAACAUCACUUCUAAAAACAUGUAUUUUAUAAAGACUCUUCUAAUAUGUUGGAGGGUGCAGUGGGUUAGACUGGGUCCUGCUCUCCGCUGGGUCUUGGGUUUGAGUCCCGCUUGGAGUGCCUUGCGACGGACUGGCAUCCCAUCCUGGGUGUGUCCCCUCCCCCUCCAGGCUUACACCCUGUGUUGCUGGGAUAGGGUCUGGCUCCCCACGACCCUGUAUGGGACAAGUGGUUACUGACUGUCUGUCAUCAUCUUAGAUGGAUUAUUGUUCCACAUUACUACUGUGUGUGAAUAAUAAUUUUUGAACAACCCUUCAACCGUGACGGCUACAUUUCCAGUUUCAGUCAACAAUGUUCCUUAGUAAAAAUAAGUUAUAAUAAAAGAAUAAGACUCAUAAAUGCUAUGCUAUCA